rnacentral:rRNA from 1 species
AUUGAACGCUGGCGGCAUGCCUUACACAUGCAAGUCGAACGGUAACAGGUCUUCGGAUGCUGACGAGUGGCGAACGGGUGAGUAAUACAUCGGAACGUGCCUAGUAGUGGAGGAUAACUACUCGAAAGAGUGGCUAAUACCGCAUGAGAUCUAUGGAUGAAAGCAGGGGAUCGCAAGACCUUGUGCUACUAGAGCGGCCGAUGGCAGAUUAGGUAGUUGGUGGGAUAAAAGCUUACCAAGCCGACGAUCUGUAGCUGGUCUGAGAGGACGAUCAGCCACACUGGGACUGAGACACGGCCCAGACUCCUACGGGAGGCAGCAGUGGGGAAUUUUGGACAAUGGGCGCAAGCCUGAUCCAGCAAUGCCGCGUGCAGGAUGAAGGCCUUCAGGUUGUAAACUGCUUUUGUACGGAACGAAAAGCCCCGGGUUAAUACCCUGGGGUCAUGACGGUACCGUAAGAAUAAGCACCGGCUAACUACGUGCCAGCAGCCGCCGUAA